rnacentral:tRNA from 1 species
GGAGAGAUAGCUCAGUUGUUAAAGCUCUUGCCUUUUAAGCAUGAAAACCUCAAUUUCAUUCCA